UCCAUCUCCGCCUCCCUCAUUCCACCUCCCGCGACUCGUCGACUGAAACCCUAACAACUCACCCCAUCUUCCUCUCUUUCGAUUUCGACUAAAACCCUAGCACACUAAAUCGAAGUAGAUUUAUUACUCUCGAUCUACUUCACAAAUGUUGAGUUUUCAGAAUCAACAACAAACCUAAGUGGAAGCAAUAAACCCAUAUGCUCAACCUUACUAGAACGCUGCUCUUUUCUCCAUCUUCUUCAUCUCCCUCCUCCAAAUCAGAGACACGAAACCGUGAUCUAUAUACCCCUUAAAUCAAUACUCUAAUUUCAUUGGAGAUAGAUACCCUAUUUUUAAUGGAACCUAGUAGAUCUCAAGUUCUCUUAAGAUUUGGAUUGAAAUUAGAGUUUUGAUUUGGGGGUUUUGUUAGGGUUUCUUUUGAUUUGAUAGAAAAUUAUUUACAUUUGGUUUGAUUUUCUACAAACAUUAUCAGCGAUCAGUAGAAGAACAUUCAACAUCUGCACUUGCAUUUGUUGAAGAUCCUCAGGUAAUGGAGAUGGUGGUGCUUUUGAUUGUCAUUUAUAGGUAAUAGAGAUGGUGGUGCUUGUGAUUUGUUAUAGUAUGAUACUAACGAUGGUGGUGGUGGUGAUGAUUUGUAGUAGUAUUGGGGUUGGUAAUGGAGAUGCGUGAUCAGAGGAGUGAGUACGGGAUCUGGUUUUGUUGCAUUCUCCACCCCUGAGGAAGCUGCUAGAGCUGUGACUGAAGUAAAUGGGAAGAUGAUAGGUCGGAAACUUCUUUAUGUUGUUGUGGCUCAGUGCAAAUGAGACCUAGGCUGCAGGCUCAUUUUGCUCAAAUGCGAGCACCUGGUGCAAUGGCACUUCCUCCAUCAGGUAUGACCAGUUUCCAUCCUGGAGGACCUAGGCUUGAUUUUGGGGGUUCUCAAGCAUGAUGAAUUUGAUUUUGGGGGUUCUCAAACACAACAGCUUCGGGGCAUCUAAAACAGUUAGUUGUACUCUUAAACAUAAAUGGGACAUACUCGGCUGCUCGAUUGGGGUUCUGUAAGGAAUUUGGACCUCCCUUGCCUUUUAGGUGUAUCAAAGGUGAUGGUGGUCUAGUGCCCAGGACACUCGUCGGAGUAACACGAGUUUAUCCUGUUUUCUAUAAGAAAUCUAAAUCAGUAUAUUCCUCGGGGUUCAGCCAUCGCGUUUUUGCAUAACAAAGCCUCCACGAUUUCUCGAUUCGUUUCCUCUUCUACUCAGGUCGGACUAGGUUUAUUAUCGGUUAUUGUUUAGUUCAGUUUUACUUGUAUCUUGAUUUAAUUGGCUUUUAAUUUAUCUUUUCUCUGUAGGAAGUGAAUCCAUGAUUUAUCGGUUAUUGCUUAGGUCAGUUUUACUUGUAUCUUGAUUUAAUUGGCUUUUAAUUUUUCUUUUCUCUGUAAGAAGUGAAUCCAUCGUUUCUUCAAUCAUCUCGCCGUGGAUUUCAUAUUGAACUCUCGUGAGAAAGCUGCUCCUAGAAUAUCUUUCGCAAGUCUGGUAGGAUCACGCUCAAAUGCAGCUGCUCACUGGCAAAGCAUCCUGGAAGAGUUGGAUAACUACUUGUUAUCUUGGAGAAAGAAAAUUAAAAUGUGAAAUUUCCAUAGGUUUCUCCAUUCUUAGUCCAUGGAGUCUAUAUCAGGUUUCAUUGUACUUUGCAGGCCUGUUUUGUAGGAUAAAUUGUGUCGCAGGCCUGUAAACUGGAAGCCCAGGUCCGUUAUAAUCGUUACAAAAAGUGUUAGUUAAAAAGAACACGUGUCAUCAUCUGAGUGCUCAUAUAGGAGGAUGACACGUGUGACUAAAAUUUUGUUACAAGCAAUAGGUAACACUUAUAGGUGUUACUGUAACCGUUACUACAGAAAGACACGUGUCCUCAAACGAAUCGUUGCAAUAAUAUACUCACACCUAAACUGUUACAAUUAU